GAUGAAGAACGUAGCGAAAUGCGAUACGUAAUGUGAAUUGCAGAUUUCAGUGAAUCAUCGAAUCUUUGAACGCACAUUGCGCCCGCUAGUAUUCUGGCGGGCAUGCCUGUUCGAGCGUCAUUUCAACCAUCAAGCCCUAGGCUUGCGUUGGAGCCCUGCGGCUGCCGCAGGCUCCCAAAUCCAGUGGCGGGCUCGUCGUCGUACCGAGUGCAGUAAACAUCCUCGCUCAGGGAACGUGACGGGUUCUUGCCGUGAAACCCCCCACAUAUCAAGGUUGACCUCGGAUCAGGUAGGAAUACCCGCUGAACUUAAGCAUAUCUAAGCGGAGGA
rnacentral:misc_RNA from 1 species